CCUACGGGCGGCAGCAGUGGGGAAUAUUGGACAAUGGGGGGAACCCUGAUCCAGCCAUGCCGCGUGUGUGAAGAAGGCCCUCGGGUUGUAAAGCACUUUCAGUGAGGAAGAACGCCUGGUGGUUAAUACCCAUCAGGAAAGACAUCACUCACAGAAGAAGCACCGGCUAACUCCGUGCCAGCAGCCGCGGUAAUACGGAGGGUGCGAGCGUUAAUCGGAAUUACUGGGCGUAAAGCGCGCGUAGGUGGCUUGAUAAGCCGGUUGUGAAAGCCCCGGACUCAACCUGGGAACGGCAUCCGGAACUGUCAAGCUAGAGUGCAGGAGAGGAAGGUAGAAUUCCCGGUGUAGCGGUGAAAUGCGUAGAGAUCGGGAGGAAUACCAGUGGCGAAGGCGGCCUUCUGGACUGACACUGACACUGAGGUGCGAAAGCGUGGGUAGCAAACAGGAUUAGAUACCCGGGUAGUC
rnacentral:rRNA from 1 species